GGAGGAAAAGUCAAGUCUAGUACUUGUAUUCUUCUCCCCCGCCGGAGUUCAAUCCUGCCUCCAUUUCAUUGUAUUACUUCUUGGUUUUCAAUUCACAAAAUCUACUGUUGAUUGAAUCAAGAACAAACUAGGGGGAGGGGUAAUAAAUCUAUAUGGAGAGAAUAAUUGGGGAGAAGUACAAGUUAGGUAGGAAGAUUGGAAGCGGCUCUUUUGGCGUUAUAUAUCUGGCUACCCACAUCGAAACCUUUGAGAUUGUUGCUGUUAAAAUUGAAAAUAGGCAGACAAGACAUCCUCAGUUGCUUUAUGAGGCAAAGCUGUACACUAUACUUCAGGGAGGAAGUGGUAUUCCUAAUAUAAAAUGGCGUGGGGUCGAUGGGAAUGAUAGCGUCCUCAUUAUUGACCUGCUUGGUCCCAGUCUUGAAGACCUCGUUGUACACUGUGGGAGGAAAUUCUCACUGAAAACUGUCCUAAUGUUGGCUGAUCAGAUGAUCACGAGAAUAGAGUAUUUGCAUUCAAAAGGAUUUCUACACAGAGACAUAAAACCAGAUAACUUUCUCAUGGGUCUUGGCAGGAAGGCAAAUCAGGUGUACAUUAUUGAUUUUGGACUUGCAAAAAGAUAUCGUGACCCCGCCACAAACCGUCAUAUUCCUUACAGAGAGAACAAAAACUUGACAGGGACAGCAAGGUAUGCCAGUUGCAAUACACAUUUGGGGAUAGAGCAAAGCCGGAGGGAUGAUCUGGAAUCUCUUGGCUACGUUCUUUUAUACUUCUUGAGAGGCAGCCUUCCAUGGCAGGGUCUAAAAGCUGAUACCAAGAAGCAAAAAUAUGACAAGAUCCGCGAGAAAAAAGUAUCAACACCAAUUGAGGUUUUAUGCAAAUCUCUUCCAGUGGAGUUUGCUUCAUACUUGCAUUAUUGUCACUCUUUAACAUUUGACCAGCGCCCUGAUUAUGGAUUCCUGAAGCGCUUGUUUCGUGACUUAUUUACACGUGAAGGGUAUAAAUUGGAUUAUGUGUUUGAUUGGACCAUCUUGAAAUAUCAGCAGACGCAGAGCUCAAGGUCGCAGCUAGAACUACCAAGCCUGCAUCCACUUUCUGUAACAACGGGCACUGGAGCAUUGCCAAAGGUUUUAAAUAAGCAAGGAUUUAAUAAUGCCACGCACUUAGCUGACGCUACAAAGCAGAAGGUAUCCGGUAAUUUUGCUCGUGGUGAUGGAUCAGCAACCUAUCUGAAACCCGAUAAUCGUACUGGAAAAAAUAUAACAACCGAUGCUUCUGUUCCUUCUACAUCGUUGGCUGAUGCUUUCAAGAGAUUCACAAAACACGAAGAUUCAAUUGAAUCUGGAAAUGUAGGUCAUGCACACAGUGGAAAAACUGGUGCUUCAAGCAGCAAGCUGCAUUUCUUAAGCAGGAUUUCUUCAGCCAAGUGAACUGGGAUGAUAGUUAUUUGACGCGGCUAGAAGUGCAGAAGUCAUCUAAUGUCUACUUCGUGAAGUUGAAUUCACUUGAGCCCUGUGUACCACUAAUGUACCUAUCUCGAGUUUUAAACCUAGGUGCUCAAGUCCCUGAAAGUUCGAAUCCAGUAUAGAGCAUUUCAGACAUCUAUAUGUCAUGAAUUUUGAUGAUGAAGCCUGCCUUUGGUGUUGAAGUUCCAAUGGGGCGUCAUCGUGGCUCUUAAUAAAUCAACCUUGCCUUUGUUUAUAAUCCUAUACUUGCUUCGGAGAUGAUGGAACUUCUAUCAGCUGAAGUAGCAGGUAAUCAAUCCGGAAUUAGAGCCUUAGCUUUUCUGCUCCUUUAUGUUUAUCUAAUCUUAUCUAAAAACAGUCUUCAUACCACUUCAUGGUGGCCAUUUUCGCUUCAAAUAAGGCUUUUCAUGUAUUUAGCUCAAUAAUAUCUUAUUUCUCUCUCUGUAUUUCUGCUCUUUCAAGUAGUGCAUGGGACAAAGAAGUUAUCGUAGUUUUGGUAAUGUUCUGUCAAGAGGCUAGUUUGUUGAACUUUUUGGCAGAACACUAAUUAGAUACACCAAUAAGUUUGGACCGAGAAGUUUCAAUCUUUUCCAUUAGCUUCAUGUUACAUUAUUUGACACGUAUCAUACCCCAGUCGUAAUUUUUUGUUUGUUGGUUAUUUUGGUUGGUUGGGGGGGUUUAUUUGUAUCUUCAUUUUCAUCUUCAUCUUCAGCACCAGAUGAUAUUCAACAAUGGUGAAAUUCAGAGAAAAAAGAACACGGAAUAUUAUUAUUAGCGUUGCAAGACAAGAUCCUAAGUCGGACAGGUGGUAUUCUGGAUUGAAACUCACAAAGACCAAUCACAAGUCUGAAAAUUUUGUGCUGAAUUUAAAUGAAUAGAACACAAGUUUGUUCGUCUAGUUCUUGAUGUGGUACAAGGCUUGUGAACCUCAGGGAACUGGUUUAUUCAAUGUUCAAGUGCUCUUUUACCUGCAAAUACAGUGUAGCGGUGUAGGUCUAGAGUUAUGUUGCUGAACAUACCAAAACUAAUCGUCCGUCCACCACUAAUUGGGAAUCUUUACUGCA